rnacentral:rRNA from 1 species
UACGGGGGGGGGCAAGCGUUGUUCGGAAUUACUGGGCGUAAAGGGUUCGUAGGUGGCUUGUUAAGUCAGACGUGAAAUCCCUCGGCUCAACCGGGGAACUGCGUCUGAGACUGAUGAGCUCGAGUGCAGGAGAGGAACGCGGAAUUCCAGGUGUAGCGGUGAAAUGACGCAGAUAUCAGGAGGAACACCGAUGGCGAAGGCGGGUCUCUGGGCCGAUACUGACGCUGAGGAGCGAAAGCGUGGGGAGCGAACAGG